rnacentral:rRNA from 5 species
GUGGACGCCAGUCUGCGUGGAGCCGACCUUGAAAUACCACCCUUUAAUGUUUGAUGUUCUAACGUGGACCCGUAAUCCGGGUUGCGGACAGUGUCUGGUGGGUAGUUUGACUGGGGCGGUCUCCUCCUAAAGAGUAACGGAGGAGCACGAAGGUUGGCUAAUCCUGGUCGGACAUCAGGAGGUUAGUGCAAUGGCAUAAGCCAGCUUGACUGCGAGCGUGACGGCGCGAGCAGGUGCGAAAGCAGGUCAUAGUGAUCCGGUGGUUCUGAAUGGAAGGGCCAUCGCUCAACGGAUAAAAGGUACUCCGGGGAUAACAGGCUGAUACCGCCCAAGAGUUCAUAUCGACGGCGGUGUUUGGCACCUCGAUGUCGGCUCAUCACAUCCUGGGGCUGAAGUAGGUCCCAAGGGUAUGGCUGUUCGCCAUUUAAAGUGGUACGCGAGCUGGGUUUAGAACGUCGUGAGACAGUUCGGUCCCUAUCUGCCGUGGGCGCUGGAGAACUGAGGGGGGCUGCUCCUAGUACGAGAGGACCGGAGUGGACGCAUCACUGGUGUUCGGGUUGUCAUGCCAAUGGCACUGCCCGGUAGCUAAAUGCGGAAGAGAUAAGUGCUGAAAGCAUCUAAGCACGAAACUUGCCCCGAGAUGAGUUCUCCCUGAGACUUAGAGUCUCCUGAAGGAACGUUGAAGACGACGACGUUGAUAGGCCGGGUGUGUAAGCGCAGCGAUGCGUUGAGCUAACCGGUACUAAUGAACCGUGAGGCUUAACCUUACA